UACGUAGGGUGCAAGCGUUGUCCGGAAUUAUUGGGCGUAAAGCGUCUGUAGGUGGUUUUUAAAGUCUUCUGUCAAAGAUUAGGGCUUAACCCUGGGCCGGCAGAAGAAACUUAGAAGCUUGAGUUCGGUAGGGGCAGAGGGAAUACCCGGUGUAGAGGUGAAAUUCGUAGAGAUCGGGUGGAACACCAGUGGCGAAGGCGCCUGUCUGGCUGACAACUGACGCUGAGACUCGAAAGCAUGGGGAGCAAACAGG
rnacentral:rRNA from 1 species